GACAUUUUGGACACCCAAAGUUGUGCGGAGGAGAAAAUGCUAGCUGGCGCGUGAUUGGUCAAUAAGAGAAAAGACUUGUUAUGUAUUUGACAAGUGAAAUAAAGUUGAUAAAAAUCUCAUAUCAAGACUUGGGUUUCUUUGAGGUAUAUAGGAGUUACAGGUAAAAAUUUGAAGGGAGGGAUGCACUUUGGUUAGAGAUUUUCAUUUGGUGUCAAACGCACCUAGUUGUAAACAAAUGGAAAUUGAAAGUAAAAGUGCAACGGCACGGUAUAUUUUUUCUGGCAUUUUUUGUUUUCCAAUAUCUCGAACUUUCACGACAAAAAGGUCAUUUGCCCGAAAUUCAAUACAUGUAUCAGUGAGAGGGGCUAAAGUUUGUAUGGAAGUCUAUGGGAAAACAUUUGGUGGUGUUUGUCCUAUAGAAUAGCAAUGCAUUAUCAAGAAGGAAGAGAUUAAUGAACCCUACCCUCUUACAAUGAACAACACAUGGACACUCUCGGGAUGAUCCGUUUGCUUUCAUUAAGAGUUCCAAGAUGUUGGUCUGAUUGACUGGGGUGUGAAAUGUAACAGCCAAUGGUGUACUUAAGCUAAGACUGUCAGUCCCAAUAUUCAAGAGCAAUGCAUUAUCAAGAAGGAAGAGAUUAAUGAACCCUACCCUCUUACAAUGAACAACACAUGGACACUCUCGGGAUGAUCCCUUUGCUUUCAUUAAGAGUUCCAAGAUGUUGGUCUGAUUGACUGGGGUGUGAAAUGUAACAGCCAAUGGUGUACUUAAGCUAAGACUGUCAGUCCCAAUAUUCAAGAGGUGAGAUAAGCAAUGGAUAUGUGUUCUAAAUUUACUAAAUUGACCACUUUUUAUAAAUGUUUCUUUUACUCUAUAGGAAAAACCCCUACAUAAACAAAUACAUGGGCGCAGACAUUUUGGACACCCAAAGUUGUGCGGAGGAGAAAAUGCUAGCUGGCGCGUGAUUGGUCAAUAAGAGAAAAGACUUGUUAUGUAUUUGACAAGUGAAAUAAAGUUGAUAAAAAUCUCAUAUCAAGACUUGGGAUUCUUUGAGGUAUAUAGGAGUUACAGGUAAAAAUUUGAAGGGAGGAAUGCACUUUGGUUAGAGAUUUUCAUUUGGUGUCAAACGCACCUAGUUGUAAACAAAUGGAAAUUGAAAGUAAAAGUGCAACGGCACGGUAUAUUUUUUCUGGCAUUUUUUGUUUUCCAAUAUCUCGAACUUUCACGACAAAAAGGUCAUUUGCCCGAAAUUCAAUACAUGUAUCAGUGAGAGGGGCUAAAGUUUGUAUGGAAGUCUAUGGGAAAACAUUUGGUGGUGUUUGUCCUAUAGAAUAGCAAUGCAUUAUCAAGAAGGAAGAGAUUAAUGAACCCUACCCUCUUACAAUGAACAACACAUGGACACUCUCGGGAUGAUCCCUUUGCUUUCAUUAAGAGUUCCAAGAUGUUGGUCUGAUUGACUGGGGUGUGAAAUGUAACAGCCAAUGGUGUACUUAAGCUAAGACUGUCAGUCCCAAUAUUCAAGAGGUGAGAUAAGCAAUGGAUAUGUGUUCUAAAUUUACUAAAUUGACCACUUUUUAUAAAUGUUUCUUUUACUCUAUAGGAAAAACCCCUACAUAAACAAAUACAUGGGCGCAGACAUUUUGGACACCCAAAGUUGUGCGGAGGAGAAAAUGCUAGCUGGCGCGUGAUUGGUCAAUAAGAGAAAAGACUUGUUAUGUAUUUGACAAGUGAAAUAAAGUUGAUAAAAAUCUCAUAUCAAGACUUGGGUUUCUUUGAGGUAUAUAGGAGUUACAGCAAUGCAUUAUCAAGAAGGAAGAGAUUAAUGAACCCUACCCUCUUACAAUGAACAACACAUGGACACUCUCGGGAUGAUCCCUUUGCUUUCAUUAAGAGUUCCAAGAUAUUGGUCUGAUUGACUGGGGUGUGAAAUGUAACAGCCAAUGGUGUACUUAAGCUAAGACUGUCAGUCCCAAUAUUCAAGAGGUGAGAUAAGCAAUGGAUAUGUGUUCUAAAUUUACUAAAUUGACCACUUUUUAUAAAUGUUUCUUUUACUCUAUAGGAAAAACCCCUACAUAAACAAAUACAUGGGCGCAGACAUUUUGGACACCCAAAGUUGUGCGGAGGAGAAAAUGCUAGCUGGCGCGUGAUUGGUCAAUAAGAGAAAAGACUUGUUAUGUAUUUGACAAGUGAAAUAAAGUUGAUAAAAAUCUCAUAUCAAGACUUGGGUUUCUUUGAGGUAUAUAGGAGUUACAGCAAUGCAUUAUCAAGAAGGAAGAGAUUAAUGAACCCUACCCUCUUACAAUGAACAACACAUGGACACUCUCGGGAUGAUCCCUUUGCUUUCAUUAAGAGUUCCAAGAUGUUGGUCUGAUUGACUGGGGUGUGAAAUGUAACAGCCAAUGGUGUACUUAAGCUAAGACUGUCAGUCCCAAUAUUCAAGAGGUGAGAUAAGCAAUGGAUAUGUGUUCUAAAUUUACUAAAUUGACCACUUUUUAUAAAUGUUUCUUUUACUCUAUAGGAAAAACCCCUACAUAAACAAAUACAUGGGCGCAGACAUUUUGGACACCCAAAGUUGUGCGGAGGAGAAAAUGCUAGCUGGCGCGUGAUUGGUCAAUAAGAGAAAAGACUUGUUAUGUAUUUGACAAGUGAAAUAAAGUUGAUAAAAAUCUCA